rnacentral:rRNA from 1 species
GACGAACGCUGGCGUUUUGCUUAACACAUGCAAGUCGAACGGUAAGGCUCCAGCUUGCUGGGGUACACGAGUGGCGAACGGGUGAGUAACACGUGGGUGACCUGCCCUGCACUUCGGGAUAAGCCUGGGAAACUGGGUCUAAUACCGGAUAGGACCGCACCGUGAGGGUGUGGUGGAAAGUUUUUUCGGUGUGGGAUGGGCCCGCGGCCUAUCAGCUUGUUGGUGGGGUAAUGGCCUACCAAGGCGGCGACGGGUAGCCGGCCUGAGAGGGUGGACGGCCACAUUGGGACUGAGACACGGCCCAGACUCCUACGGGAGGCAGCAGUGGGGAAUAUUGCACAAUGGGCGGAAGCCUGAUGCAGCGACGCCGCGUGGGGGAUGACGGCCUUCGGGUUGUAAACUCCUUUCACCAUCGACGAAGGGUUUCUGACGGUAGAUGGAGAAGAAGCACCGGCUAACUACGUGCCAGCAGCCGCGGUAAUACGUAGGGUGCGAGCGUUGUCCGGAAUUACUGGGCGUAAAGAGCUCGUAGGUGGUUUGUCGCGUCGUCUGUGAAAUUCCGGGGCUUAACUCCGGGCGUGCAGGCGAUACGGGCAUAACUUGAGUACUGUAGGGGAGACUGGAAUUCCUGGUGUAGCGGUGAAAUGCGCAGAUAUCAGGAGGAACACCGGUGGCGAAGGCGGGUCUCUGGGCAGUAACUGACGCUGAGGAGCGAAAGCAUGGGGAGCGAACAGGAUUAGAUACCCUGGUAGUCCAUGCCGUAAACGGUGGGCGCUAGGUGUGGGUUUCCUUCCACGGGAUCCGUGCCGUAGCUAACGCAUUAAGCGCCCCGCCUGGGGAGUACGGCCGCAAGGCUAAAACUCAAAGGAAUUGACGGGGGCCCGCACAAGCGGCGGAGCAUGUGGAUUAAUUCGAUGCAACGCGAAGAACCUUACCUGGGCUUGACAUAUACAGGAUCGCGCCAGAGAUGGUGUUUCCCUUGUGGCUUGUAUACAGGUGGUGCAUGGUUGUCGUCAGCUCGUGUCGUGAGAUGUUGGGUUAAGUCCCGCAACGAGCGCAACCCUUGUCUUAUGUUGCCAGCACGUUGUGGUGGGGACUCGUAAGAAACUGCCGGGGUUAACUCGGAGGAAGGUGGGGAUGACGUCAAAUCAUCAUGCCCCUUAUGUCCAGGGCUUCACACAUGCUACAAUGGUCGGUACAGUGGGUUGCCAGUCCGUGAGGGCGAGCUAAUCCCGCAAAGCCGGUCUCAGUUCGGAUCGGGGUCUGCAACUCGACCCCGUGAAGUCGGAGUCGCUAGUAAUCGCAGAUCAGCAACGCUGCGGUGAAUACGUUCCCGGGCCU